rnacentral:rRNA from 1 species
UACGUAGGGUGCGAGCGUUAAUCGGAAUUACUGGGCGUAAAGUGUGCGCAGGCGGCCGCGCAAGUCGAGUGUGAAAGCCCCGAGCUUAACUUGGGAAUUGCGCUCGAAACUACGUGGCUGGAGUGUGGCAGAGGAAGGUGGAAUUCCAGGUGUAGCGGUGAAAUGCGUAGAGAUCUGGAGGAACACCGAUGGCGAAGGCAGCCUUCUGGGCAGUGGGAUCGAAAGGUCCCUUUAACCGACACUGAGGCGCGACAGCGUGGGGAGCAAACAGG